GAUGAACGCUGGCGGCGUGCCUAAUACAUGCAAGUCGAGCGAACGGACGAGAAGCUUGCUUUUCUGAUGUUAGCGGCGGACGGGUGAGUAACACGUGGAUAACCUACCUAUAAGACUGGGAUAACUUCGGGAAACCGGAGCUAAUACCGGAUAAUAUUUUGAACCGCAUGGUUCAAAAGUGAAAGACGGUCUUGCUGUCACUUAUAGAUGGAUCCGCGCUGCAUUAGCUAGUUGGUAAGGUAACGGCUUACCAAGGCAACGAUGCAUAGCCGACCUGAGAGGGUGAUCGGCCACACUGGAACUGAGACACGGUCCAGACUCCUACGGGAGGCAGCAGUAGGGAAUCUUCCGCAAUGGGCGAAAGCCUGACGGAGCAACGCCGCGUGAGUGAUGAAGGUCUUCGGAUCGUAAAACUCUGUUAUUAGGGAAGAACAAAUGUGUAAGUAACUAUGCACGUCUUGACGGUACCUAAUCAGAAAGCCACGGCUAACUACGUGCCAGCAGCCGCGGUAAUACGUAGGUGGCAAGCGUUAUCCGGAAUUAUUGGGCGUAAAGCGCGCGUAGGCGGUUUUUUAAGUCUGAUGUGAAAGCCCACGGCUCAACCGUGGAGGGUCAUUGGAAACUGGAAAACUUGAGUGCAGAAGAGGAAAGUGGAAUUCCAUGUGUAGCGGUGAAAUGCGCAGAGAUAUGGAGGAACACCAGUGGCGAAGGCGACUUUCUGGUCUGUAACUGACGCUGAUGUGCGAAAGCGUGGGGAUCAAACAGGAUUAGAUACCCUGGUAGUCCACGCCGUAAACGAUGAGUGCUAAGUGUUAGGGGGUUUCCGCCCCUUAGUGCUGCAGCUAACGCAUUAAGCACUCCGCCUGGGGAGUACGACCGCAAGGUUGAAACUCAAAGGAAUUGACGGGGACCCGCACAAGCGGUGGAGCAUGUGGUUUAAUUCGAAGCAACGCGAAGAACCUUACCAAAUCUUGACAUCCUCUGACCCCUCUAGAGAUAGAGUUUUCCCCUCCGGGGGACAGAGUGACAGGUGGUGCAUGGUUGUCGUCAGCUCGUGUCGUGAGAUGUUGGGUUAAGUCCCGCAACGAGCGCAACCCUUAAGCUUAGUUGCCAUCAUUAAGUUGGGCACUCUAAGUUGACUGCCGGUGACAAACCGGAGGAGGGUGGGGAUGACGUCAAAUCAUCAUGCCCCUUAUGAUUUGGGCUACACACGUGCUACAAUGGACAAUACAAAGGGCAGCGAAACCGCGAGGUCAAGCAAAUCCCAUAAAGUUGUUCUCAGUUCGGAUUGUAGUCUGCAACUCGACUACAUGAAGCUGGAAUCGCUAGUAAUCGUAGAUCAGCAUGCUACGGUGAAUACGUUCCCGGGUCU
rnacentral:rRNA from 1 species